rnacentral:rRNA from 1 species
ACUAAAACUCUAGCCCCCCAACCCCCUCAAGAAACUAUGACAUUUUAAUUUUCUGAAUUAAAACAUUCUAAUAGUCUAGUAAAGGCGAUCAAAAAACUAACAGGAGCUAUAUGUAAAGUACCGCAAGGGAAAGAUGAAAUAAAAUGAAAUAUUUUAAGUGUUAAAAAGUAGAGAUUAACCCUCGUACCUUUUGCAUCAUGGUUUAACUAGUCCAACCAAGCAAAAAGAUUUUAAGUUUGACCCCCCGAAACUAAGUGAGCUACUUCAAGGCAGCUUAAUGAGCCAACCCGUCUCUGUCGCAAAAGAGUGGGAAGACCUUCAAGUAGCGGUGAUAAACCUAACGAACUUAGUGAUAGCUGGUUACUCAAGAAAAAGAUUUAGUCUAACCCAAAGUUAAUUCUAUACAGAAAAUAAAAAUUUAACUUUGGAGUCAUUCAAAUAAGGUACAGCCUAUUUGAAACAGGAUACAACCUCAACUAACGGGUAAACUAAUAAUUGUUUAUGAUCAAGUAGGCUUAAGAGCAGCCAUCUUCAAAAUAGCGUCUAAGCUUAAUUAUUUAACCAUUUAAUUUCCUUAAUUCUCAUCAACCCUUUGUCCAUACUGAGUAAUUCUAUACAUUUAUAGAACUUUUUAUGUUAGAACUAGUAACAAGAAGAAGACCUUCUCUAAAAUGCAAGUGUAAAUCAUAAAGGACCCACCACUGAUAAUUAACAUAUCUGAAUAAACAGUAGUAACCCAACAAGAAAAUUCCACUAGUCUUUAUGUUAAUCUAACACAAGAGCAUUUCAAGAAAGAUUUUAAGAAAAAGAAGGAACUCGGCAAACAUUAACCUCGCCUGUUUACCAAAAACAUCGCCUCUUGUAAAAACCAUAAGAGGUCCAGCCUGCCCAGUGACUCUGUUCAACGGCCGCGGUAUCCUAACCGUGCGAAGGUAGCGUAAUCAUUUGUUCUUUAAAUGAGGACUAGUAUGAACGGCACCACGAAGGUUACACUGUCUCCUUUUUCUAAUCAGUGAAACUAAUCUCCCCGUGAAGAAGCGGGGAUUAGUCUAUAAGACGAGAAGACCCUAUGGAGCUUUAAACAAGAUAACAAUUGCUUGCCCACAUUUAUUUUCAGAAAACCAAAUCUUUAUCUUAGCAUUCUGAUUAUCAGUUUUAGGUUGGGGUGACCGUGGAGUAAAAAUUAACCUCCACAUUGACAUGGAAUUAAACCCUAAGCAAAGAGCCACAACUUCAUGCAUCAACAAACUGACAUUAAUUGACCCAAUAUUUUUGAUCGACGAACCAAGUUACCCUAGGGAUAACAGCGCAAUCCUCUUCAAGAGCUCCUAUCGACAAGGGGGUUUACGACCUCGAUGUUGGAUCAGGGUAUCCUAGUGGUGCAGCCGCUACUGAAGGUUCGUUUGUUCAACGAUUAAAACCCU